GGGCCUACGGGGGGCAGCAGUGGGGGAUAUUGCACAAUGGGGGGAACCCUGAUGCAGCGACGCCGCGUGGGUGAAGGAGUGCUUCGGCAUGUAAAGCCCUAUCGGCAGGGGAGAAGCAAGACGGUACCUGACUAAGAAGCCCCGGCUAACUACGUGCCAGCAGCCGCGGUAAUACGUAGGGGGCGAGCGUUAUCCGGAUUCACUGGGUGUAAAGGGAGCGUAGACGGCCAUGCAAGCCAGGGGUGAAAGCCCGGGGCCCAACCCCGGGACUGCCCUUGGAACUGUGCGGCCAGCGUGCGGGGGGG
rnacentral:rRNA from 1 species